rnacentral:rRNA from 1 species
UUGACCUCGGAUCAGUUCUGUUCCAUGUGUG